UUUUUUUUUCAAUAGUUUGGGAUACUCCAAUCCCUCCCAGCUCCCAAUUUCUCUAGGAGCCAAGGCCUAUGCUAGGGCAAGGACAGUGCCUGUGUUCCUGGAGAUGUGACCCAGCUGCAUCCCAAGCCUGCAUCUGGGCAAGAUGAAGUUCAACAGCAGAUGCUCACAUUUUUCUCCUCCUGAUGAUGUUUCUAUGUGAAGCAAGAAACACUGAAUGUUUUCAAGCACAUUUCUUUGGGAACUAAUUUCCACCACUGCAGAAAUUAAUAUAGGACACUGUUCUAAAGUCUUGGGCUUUCCAAAAGUCGUUCUGCAAGGAUGGAGAGUUGGGUAACAAGCUACAGUAAAGUUAUGUGGUGAGUGUUUAGUUUCCUCUUCAAUGAACUUUACAGUUGCUUUGCAUUUUGCAGCAUUACUAAAAUGUACAUUAUAAAGAGGGAAUGAUGAUAUAUAGUUUAACUUACUGUAUUUAGCUGUAAAUCUCUUUUGCCUGUAGAAAAAGAGAUUUCUGUUAGUAAAAAGAGAUCUACCCUCACACUUCAUAUAAUGGCACAUUGACCAUUUUUCUGCUGAAACUUUUUAUUUUUGCUGACUGUGUUUUCACACUGACAGCAUAAGAAUGAGGUGAUGAGUUGAUUUAACCGUGUCAGCUAUUAUCAGAAUGAAAUCAAUGGUGCAGAAAUAGUGGUUACUAACUUAAUGCAUAGCUGAUGUUUGCAUCCUAGCUUUCCUUUUAAUGGCAUUCAAGUACGUGGCUUCAAAUUUGGAUGCACUUCAGUUACAGAAUUAAUAUUCUUAUUCCCUCUGAAGAACUUCAGGCCUGUCCCUUCAAGAAAGUGCUUAUGAUCUUAGAGGAAAAGCUUUAAGAUUAUAACAGAGAGAAGGACUGACUUCAAAAGGAUUUUGUACAGAGAUAGGAAAUAACCGUUACCCUUCCUUUCUAAAAUCCUGUGUAUGUUUAGUGCUAACUGUGAAAUUGUUUUCCUGCAGUUAAAAGCUGACUAAAAUUCCCAGUGAAAUAAGUCAAUAAGCACCAGAGUGUCAAAUCCAAAGAAGUAAAGGUAAAUAUUAUUUCUUCCUGUCCAGAACAGAGUAUUUUGCUUCUAAGAUAAGCUGCCUAGGAUCUUCAUUCUUAUUCAUAAAAUUCCCUAAGGAAAACCCUUUUAAGUACACUUUCAGCUAUUUAAUUCAGAGGGAAACGUCAUGCAUAGCUUAGAGCUGAUGCACAUUUCCCUUGCUGGUUUCCUGCAAGUGUCUCAGUUCCUUCAGGGAUCAUUCAAGUCACAGCAUAUUCUAUCGCUGCAUCAUUAAUCACACAGAUAAUAAGGAAGAAUAUUGUAUUUGAAUAUACCUAUCUUUAUCUGAAUGUGAAUCUCUCUGAAAUGUACUUUAUCACAAAUUCCAAGCACUCAUUGAAGUGUUUGCUACCCAGCAAGGCACUCAAGUAAGCAUGCUGGGAAAAGAUUUUGUUAAAUUGUGUUUAACUGUGGUUGACUAAGGCCUGAAUUUUUUUCUCUGAAAAUGUUGUGGUACCAGUGAGUUCAGGUUGUCAGAUCUGCCCCUAAACAGGUGCCUGUCAUCCUUUCCAGUUUUUCUGGCUUUUAAACCAAAUUCUUAAGAGUGCUGCCAGUACACUACAGAAUGUUGUGAUUGGAAAGAGUCCAGCAGCAAUCCAGCUAAUAAAAGCAGGAAGCAGGGAACAUAGACACCAUAUAUUCCUAGGCCUGCCGAGGCGUUCUUCCAGAGAUUUGCUGCUGAACAGCAGGGGAGUGCGGCCAAACACUUUGAUAAGUGACCUCUAUGGGGAAAAUUAAUGUUGCUUGCAACAGGAGAUAACCCCCCCUUCUUUUAAAAUACAGACCAUUACCAUGAAUUUAGCCCAUUACUUUUGUAGAUGUGUUUCCAGUCAGCACUUGUGUUUAGCAUCCCAGCACUGAAUUAUUCCUCCUUUGCCUUCCUGGCAUGUAAAUGGAAUCUGUUUCACUGCUUUUGCUGAUUAGAUAACAAAACAGACUCUAAUGAACAUUAUGAAGCUAAAGGCUAUUUGUCAGAGCUGGUUGAAAUCUUUCCAAUUAAUAUUUCAGCAGGGUUUAAUCUAAGAUCCCCUUUCAUAAAAUUUUUACAAACAAUGCAAUUCUUCAAAAGGAUAUAUUGUGUAAGUAUCCUAGCAAAAAGAAAUUCUUAAGGAUUUGGAAAAAUGUCUAAUAUCUUGGGAUUUUUCUUAAUCUUUUUUUUCUCUUUCCAGUUCAAUUUCCUCCCCAUUCCUGUUAGAAAAUGUGUUUAAAAUAUGCAACAUCUUAACUGCUGAUUACUGAAGGUAAAAAAAGCACACAAAGCAGUCUCUGAAUUGAACCUGACAGAAACCAAUGAAAACUGUUCUGCCAUGUAGUUUACCUUCUUCUUUUACUUUUUUGUGCCUCAAAGGAAACAAACUAUUUCAAAUCAAAGCUCCUUUUUCUCCUCAAAAGAAUAAGAUACUGUUAAAAUAUAAUUAAUUUUCUCAUGGAGAAUUACAAUAUUUACAGAAUUUUAAAGAAAAUGAUA